GAAACCCGGUGAUCUAGCCAUGGGCAGGUUGAAGGUUGGGUAACACUAACUGGAGGACCGAACCGACUAAUGUUGAAAAAUUAGCGGAUGACUUGUGGCUGGGGGUGAAAGGCCAAUCAAACCGGGAGAUAGCUGGUUCUCCCCGAAAGCUAUUUAGGUAGCGCCUCGUGAAUUCAUCUCCGGGGGUAGAGCACUGUUUCGGCAAGGGGGUCAUCCCGACUUACCAACCCGAUGCAAACUGCGAAUACCGGAGAAUGUUAUCACGGGAGACACACGGCGGGUGCUAACGUCCGUCGUGAAGAGGGAAACAACCCAGACCGCCAGCUAAGGUCCCAAAGUCAUGGUUAAGUGGGAAACGAUGUGGGAAGGCCCAGACAGCCAGGAUGUUGGCUUAGAAGCAGCCAUCAUUUAAAGAAAGCGUAAUAGCUCACUGGUCGAGUCGGCCUGCGCGGAAGAUGUAACGGGGCUAAACCAUGCACCGAAGCUGCGGCAGCGACACUAUGUGUUGUUGGGUAGGGGAGCGUUCUGUAAGCCUGUGAAGGUGGCCUGUGAGGGUUGCUGGAGGUAUCAGAAGUGCGAAUGCUGACAUAAGUAACGAUAAAGCGGGUGAAAAGCCCGCUCGCCGGAAGACCAAGGGUUCCUGUCCAACGUUAAUCGGGGCAGGGUGAGUCGACCCCUAAGGCGAGGCCGAAAGGCGUAGUCGAUGGGAAACAGGUUAAUAUUCCUGUACUUGGUGUUACUGCGAAGGGGGGACGGAGAAGGCUAUGUUGGCCGGGCGACGGUUGUCCCGGUUUAAGCGUGUAGGCUGGUUUUCCAGGCAAAUCCGGAAAACCAAGGCUGAGGCGUGAUGACGAGGCACUACGGUGCUGAAGCGACAAAUGCCCUGCUUCCAGGAAAAGCCUCUAAGCAUCAGGUAACAUCAAAUCGUACCCCAAACCGACACAGGUGGUCAGGUAGAGAAUACCAAGGCGCUUGAGAGAACUCGGGUGAAGGAACUAGGCAAAAUGGUGCCGUAACUUCGGGAGAAGGCACGCUGAUAUGUAGGUGAAGCGACUUGCUCGUGGAGCUGAAAUCAGUCGAAGAUACCAGCUGGCUGCAACUGUUUAUUAAAAACACAGCACUGUGCAAACACGAAAGUGGACGUAUACGGUGUGACGCCUGCCCGGUGCCGGAAGGUUAAUUGAUGGGGUUAGCGGUAACGCGAAGCUCUUGAUCGAAGCCCCGGUAAACGGCGGCCGUAACUAUAACGGUCCUAAGGUAGCGAAAUUCCUUGUCGGGUAAGUUCCGACCUGCACGAAUGGCGUAAUGAUGGCCAGGCUGUCUCCACCCGAGACUCAGUGAAAUUGAACUCGCUGUGAAGAUGCAGUGUACCCGCGGCAAGACGGAAAGACCCC
rnacentral:rRNA from 1 species